GAUGAACGCUAGCGAUAGGCUUAACACAUGCAAGUCGAGGGGCAGCAUGGUCUUAGCUUGCUAAGACUGAUGGCGACCGGCGCACGGGUGCGUAACGCGUAUGCAACUUGCCUCACAGAGGGGGAUAACCCGUCGAAAGACGGACUAAUACCGCGUACACUUGGGAUAGGGCAUCCUGACCCAAGGAAAUGAAAUUCGCUGUGAGAUAGGCAUGCGUCCCAUUAGCUAGUUGGUGAGGUAACGGCUCACCAAGGCGACGAUGGGUAGGGGAACUGAGAGGUUGAACCCCCACACUGGUACUGAGACACGGACCAGACUCCUACGGGAGGCAGCAGUGAGGAAUAUUGGUCAAUGGGCGAGAGCCUGAACCAGCCAAGUCGCGUGAAGGAUGACUGUCUUAUGGAUUGUAAACUUCUUUUAUACGGGAAUAACAAAAGUCACGUGUGGCUCCCUGCAUGUACCGAAUGAAUAAGCAUCGGCUAACUCCGUG
rnacentral:rRNA from 1 species